GAUGAACGCUGGCGGCGUGCCUAAUACAUGCAAGUCGAGCGAACAGACGAGGAGCUUGCUCCUCUGGCGUUAGCGGCGGACGGGUGGGUAACACGUGGAUAACCUACCUAUAAGACUGGGAUAACUUCGGGAAACCGGAGCUAAUACCGGAUAAUAUAUUGAACCGCAUGGUUCAAUAGUGAAAGACGGUUUUGCUGUCACUUAUAGAUGGAUCCGCGCCGCAUUAGCUAGUUGGUAAGGUAACGGCUUACCAAGGCAACGAUGCGUAGCCGACCUGAGAGGGUGAUCGGCCACACUGGAACUGAGACACGGUCCAGACUCCUACGGGAGGCAGCAGUAGGGAAUCUUCCGCAAUGGGCGAAAGCCUGACGGAGCAACGCCGCGUGAGUGAUGAAGGUCCUCGGAUCGUAAAACUCUGUUAUUAGGGAAGAACAAAUGUGUAAGUAACUAUGCACGUCUUGACGGUACCUAAUCAGAAAGCCACGGCUAACUACGUG
rnacentral:rRNA from 1 species